GCAUUAAUGGGGUAGUGGUAACCUGGGUCGUUGCCAUUGAGAGAGAACCACCGUUCUCGACCCGCCGGGGGUUCGAUUCCCCCUUAAUGCA